CCUGUCCGCCGGCUGCCGAUUGGCUGCUGCGCUGGGCUCGCCCCCGCCGGGGUCCCUGUGCGCGCGGACUGCGGAGUUUUAAUUUGUGGCCGACCCCUGGGCUCACAGCCCCUUUGAUGCACCGCAGUGUGGCCCAAGGUCUAAAAACCCACCGAGCUCUCUGCAGGAGGGUUACCGUGGAUGGUGAGCCUGGGACCUGGUUACACCAGGUGAGCCUGGGAAUCGUCUGGGAGAUCGGGGGGAGGCUGGAGGAGCUUCAAGAAUCAGCAGGUACUCAUGAAUUCUGCCCAGUUCCUGCCUGUUGGGCGCUGACCAUCCUGCUGUAAAGUCACUGGAUAAAGAGAGGUAUGUGCUAGUCUGGGAAGACUAAGUUGUGUGAUUCCAUAAAUAAAUUCAUUCUCUAGGGAUCCCUGGGUGGCGCA
rnacentral:lncRNA from 1 species